CCGAGAACGAGAAUGAGAAUGAGAAAAAAAACAAAGACAUAAAAAAAUUUAACUCGUAAAAAAUCUUGCUAUACUUACCCCUUUUUUUGCGUUUUUUAUUUUUCUAAUAAAUUGUUGCCCUGUCCGGCGUAAUAGGAAGCAUAAAUGUCUUACCCUAUAGCUGUGAGUUGAGAAGCAAAGAAAUUAUAUCGCAUAUAAGAUACUGCAAUAAGAUACACACGCGCGCAGUUUAGGUGAUACACUUCGAACGUUUAAACUGCAAUAUUGCAGUUUAUUGAAUAAGUGCCGGGAACUGAUAGGAAUGCUUAACUUCGCGAGAGAACACAAUAGCGCUGACUAUGUUAAACUUAUGCAAAGCAUUGCUUUCCGCUGACAGCUGAUAUUGAUCUAGAAUCCAGUAAGAGAGCAGCGUAUAUAUCGGUUCAAUUGGAAGUUGAUCGCGCUAGACGUUCUUUCUAAGGCAAAUAUGACUUUCUUAUUUGUUUUGCGAUGAUUUCAAUGACAAACUUUUUCUGCUUCCAAGCUUCAAGACUACGCUAGCGGUAUAAUGAGAACCAUAACCUGCAAUUUUAUCUUUUGCACCCGUUAUCGAGGCAUUGCGGUGUUUGCGUUUUAUGAAAAUGUUUGUAAUACCUAAGAGGAGGCUUCAGAGUCCCUUACAUAAAUUUCCUAAAGUAUAUCUAUUGUUGAGCAGCAUCAAAAUCUGAAUCGAUCUAAUCAUGUCCCUCAUGUCCAACUAUGUAAUGUCUCAGGUAAACAUUGAUCGUAAGAAUUAAAAAAUAUUUGCUUCAAGUUUAGCAAGAGGAACAUCUUGCAGACUGGUUGGAAUUGGCGACGAUCGAAGGACCCGCCUACAGUAUAACAUGAGCUAAGAACCCAUCUACUUUGACAAUCAAGAAAAACAGUUCUUGUUGAUUUCUACUAAAGCACCGCAGACACAGCGACAGGAUAUUUUCACGUAUUUUCUGUGAAUGGAUUCACCCUGACCCUGUAUCCACCUGACCACCACAUAUCAUUGAGUUUUCACUUUUUUGUCAAAAGGAGACUAUGUCAGAAGGAGACUUCAAGGACCACAUGAAGUACAUAAGUUUUCAUAUCGAAUUCGAAAUUUACCCAAGUAUGUCCAUCUGCCCAUACGAAUAAUAUUGAUAGUAAAUAUUCUUUCGACCGCAAAAAAGAAGAUUUCGCAUUCAAGUUUGUCAGGAACAUUGAAAGUACAUGCAAACUCACUGCUAUGGCAAAAUGGGGCAAGGACAUGCCUACUGUGCAAUAUAGACUGACAUCAUAUUUAUCUUGUUGACCCUGCUCAUAAACUACAAUAGAUGAAUGAUAGCAAUUUACAGGUAAAUGUUGCACAGAUGGAAAAAAUCAGCCACGCCUACUCAAUAUUAUAAAGUAUAAAAAUUUGGUUACUUAUUUUUUAUUUUUUUUUUGUGGUGACUGUAAAAGAUUUGAUCACAGCCUUCUACAAUUUUCUUUACAACGGUUCUAAUUCCGUGCGUAUGCAAGAACGGUAAUCGAGAAAAUUGAAGGUUUUAAAAACCUUGUGUUUGUGGCAUAUAAUGUCGGUAAUUGCAUGCCUCUUGAUUUCUCGCUGACUGAAUGAAAAUAAGAACACGAAAGUUAUUCUCGCGAAAUUACAGUCACAUGCACAAGUGUCCACAAGCAUCAUAAACAUUUUCUGCGUGAAUUAAUCGUCCUUUUCAAUUUAAAGUUUUUAUUUCUCUAAAAAUAAUUAGUGUGUGUAAUAAAUUGUGUCAUACAAAAUUGUUCUUCAAUACAAACUAAUAUCGGAAUUUUUGAAUUUUAAUUAUUUGUUUUUCAGAUUCAUUAUAGAAUAAACUUUAACACUGAAUUGUUCAUUCUUUUGCUGUAAGUGAAAUCAUAUAAAACGAAACAACAACUUUGCGUAAAUAACAAUAAAAUUAUUAAACACUAUCAAUUACAAUGCACCAGGCAAUGAAGUGUAAACGAACGCUGAUGAGAUAGCACAUUACAAAACCAACAUUAAAAUAUUUUAUCUUAUCCAAUACUGCAGACCUUUACAAAUAUAUGACAAUAGGAAUCCGGUGCUUGGACACUAGAAAGGGGAGAUAUAUUAACUUUCUUAUUCCAUUUGAUGCAUUGAAAAAUGAAGUCCUAAAUACAUGUUAAAAAAAAAAAAAACGCGACUUUUUCAACAGAAUUAACUAUGUCCGUCCCUCUCUCUGAUAUUUUUUAAUAACUUUCGCGAAAUGCUAAAAACUAUCGACGCCAGGUUUUUUUUUUUUAAAUAUUAUAACUUUGCAACAGGUUUUCUGCUUACAUGACCAAUAUCAGGAAUCGAUAUGUUAACAAUAUAAUCAAUCCUUCUCAUUCACUAGCUUUUCUAAGGAUUUUGAUGAUUUUUGUUGAAGGAAAAACUAACAUAUCUCCAACAGAUUAAUUUAUAAGCGCCAAUGAAAACAUACAUACUUACAGUUUAAGCAUUACGGAAAUCAAUUAAACGUUUUCGGGUAAAAUCAAUUACUGAAACUUUCGAGGGGCCUUUCGAUACCUCUUUAGCGAGUAAAUUCUAGCGAAACCUUCUACUCCCUACUUUAAUAAACUAUAUCGGUCUAAGAUUGUCUAACCGUCUGUCCAUCCGUCCGUCCGUUCGUCGCCCACCUUAUUAUCUUAUGUCAAUCCAUGUGUUUUGGUUUGGAAGAAAAAUGGCUGGAAUCGGACCACUCAUAUUACGCUUGGUUACGAAUAGUCGUGAUAAGUAAAAAUAAGAAAACAAAGCUGCAAGUACAAAGGGAUCGCGGGCCUCGAAUAACUCGCCAUGAGUAAACACAUCAAGUGCCUAUGAUUCGUUUCAACAGCCAAAUUUUUUUUUUUUUUGCUUUUUUAUUUUAUUUUCCUUUUUCAUUAACAGCAAUGUUAUUGAAAUAG